rnacentral:rRNA from 1 species
GAUGAACGCUGGUGGCGUGCCUAAUACAUGCAAGUCGAGCGAACGGACGAGAAGCUUGCUUCUCUGAUGUUAGCGGCGGACGGGUGAGUAACACGUGGAUAACCUACCUAUAAGACUGGGAUAACUUCGGGAAACCGGAGCUAAUACCGGAUAAUAUUUUGAACCGCAUGGUUCAAAAGUGAAAGACGGUCUUGCUGUCACUUAUAGAUGGAUCCGCGCUGCAUUAGCUAGUUGGUAAGGUAACGGCUUACCAAGGCAACGAUGCAUAGCCGACCUGAGAGGGUGAUCGGCCACACUGGAACUGAGACACGGUCCAGACUCCUACGGGGGGCAGCAGUAGGGAAUCUUCCGCAAUGGGCGAAAGCCUGACGGAGCAACGCCGCGUGAGUGAUGAAGGUCUUCGGAUCGUAAAACUCUGUUAUUAGGGAAGAACAUAUGUGUAAGUAACUGUGCACAUCUUGACGGUACCUAAUCAGAAAGCCACGGCUAACUACGUG